rnacentral:tRNA from 1 species
AUUGAGGUGGCAGAACUUGGUUAUUGCAAGAGACCUAAACUCUCUCAAUAGGGGUUCAAAUCCCCUCUUCAACU